rnacentral:rRNA from 1 species
UACAGAGGUCCCAAGCGUUGUUCGGAUUCACUGGGCGUAAAGGGUGCGUAGGCGGUGAGGUAAGUCGGAUGUGAAAUCUCCAAGCUCAACUUGGAAAUGGCAUUGGAAACUACCUUGCUAGAGGAUCGGAGGGGGGACUGGAAUACUUGGUGUAGCAGUGAAAUGCGUAGAUAUCAAGUGGAACACCAGUGGCGAAGGCGAGUCCCUGGACGGUUCCUGACGCUGAGGCACGAAAGCUAGGGGAGCAAACAGG